AAUAUCUUUCAUGGUGCCUCUACAACAGAUUUUGAAUUUGAUCUAAUCAAAUCUGGUUCUAUGGGUUCACUAGAUUGUGUCAGUUCUUCUAUCUAUCGAACAAUAUAAGUUUCAUAUUAAAGGCAUCAGUACCUUCAUCAAGGUAUUUUUUUUCUGAAAAAAAUACCGAACAACUUUUAUUCUUUAGCAUGGUAGAAGUUAUAUCCCCUAUAUUCUUUGGUUAUCCUACAAAAUAAUAUAUAUAGGAUCGAAAUCUAAGCUAAU
rnacentral:lncRNA from 1 species